rnacentral:rRNA from 1 species
CCUACGGGUGGCAGCAGUGAGGAAUAUUGGUCAAUGGGCGCGAGCCUGAACCAGCCAAGUCGCGUGAAGGAUGAAGGCCCUACGGGUUGUAAACUUCUUUUGUAAAGGAAUAAAGUGAGGCACGUGUGCCUUUUUGUAUGUACUUUAUGAAUAAGGAUCGGCUAACUCCGUGCCAGCAGCCGCGGUAAUACGGAGGAUCCGAGCGUUAUCCGGAUUUAGUGGGUUUAAAGGGAGCGGAGAUGGGUUGUUAAGUCAGUUGUGAAAGUCUGGGGCUCAACCGUAGAAUUGCACUUGAUACUGGCAGCCUUGAGUCCAGUUGAGGUAGGCGGAAUUCGUGGUGUAGCGGUGAAAUGCUUAGAUAUCACGAAGAACUCCGAUUGCGAAGGCAGCUUACUAAACUGACACUGACGUUGAGGCGCGAAAGCGUGGGUAGCAAACAGGAUUAGAUACCCUAGUAGUC